GCCGCGCUGACGUUAGCGGGAGGGCGCGCGCGUGCGGUGUCUCGCGCUGCUGGCCGGUUCCCGCCAUCCGCCGCCGCCCCCCCUUCCCCUUUCCCCUCCCCCCUUCCCCCCUCCCCCGGGCCUCAGCCCCACCGGCGGCGCCGAGGACGCGCCGGGACGCAGGUGUUUUAAGUGGAGUGUGCUUGCUCUUGUUAGCUCUUUUCUGUGAGCAAGCAUGGCUCCACUAAAGGUGCAUGGACCUAUCCGGAUGCGCAGCAUGCAGACUGGGAUUACAAAAUGGAAAGAAGGGAGCUUUGAAAUUGUGGAGAAGGACAACAAAGCCAGUCUAAUUGUUCACUACAAUGUUGGAAUUCCAAAGACAUUUCAGCUAAGCCAUAACAUUAAAACUGUGACCUUACGACCAAAUGGUAGAAAACUGUGCUGUCUGAUGCUAACACUAAAGGAUACCAGCUUCCUGACAAUUGAUAAGGUGCCGUUGAAAGAGGCAAAUGAAAUGCGGAUGUAUUUGGAUGCAAUCCAUCAAGACAGAGUUUAUACUGCUGGGAAACCCUCUCAGGGAUCUGGCAGCUUUGGAGGUGUGCUGGGCAGCAGGACCACACAGAAGGAAGCUAAUAGGCAAUUUUCUUAUAUAGAGAACCAGACUCCUCCCAAAAGAGUGGCUGUGGAAAGUAAGGAGGAGAAUCCAUUUCGCAAGGUGCUGGGUACCCCAGCGAGGGCAUCUGUGAAGAGUUCAGCUGGAACUGGGACACCUGGCAACAGGGUGAACAUUUCAGCAUCUCCUGCAUCAUCGGGCCCUCACAGAACGAGCCUGCUGGAGAACCGUGAAAAGAGGAAAAGAACUCAACCUCCUGGUUCAGAAAUGAGUGAAGAUUAUCCCAAAGAGAACGAUUCUUCAACCAACAAUAAAGCCUUGAGCGAUCCAGCAUGGAAGUACCUGAACAGCAGCAGAGAGAAACAGUUGAAUCUGAAGCAGGCAGAGGAAAAUAGGACAUCAGGUAUUUUACCACUGCAGUCAUCCUCCUUUUAUGGUAGUCGAUCCUCAACAAAAGAGUACUCCACUGGCAGUUCCACCUUGGACAGGUCUAGUGUAUCCAGCCAGACCCCUUCAGCCAAAAGAAGCCUGGGAUUUCUUUCUCAGCCUGCCCCUCUUUCCGUUAAAAAAAUGAGAUCUAAUCAAGAUUACACAGGGUGGAACAAACCCCGAGUGCCCCUUUCCACUCAUCCUCAACAACAACUACAAGGAUUUUCAAACUUGGGAAACACCUGCUAUAUGAAUGCCAUUCUACAGUCCUUGUUUUCAAUUCAGUCUUUUGCUAAUGAUUUGCUCAAGCAGGGUAUCCCCUGGAAAAAAAUUCCACUCAAUGCACUUAUCAGACGUUUUGCCCAUCUGCUUGCUAAAAAGGAUGUUUGCAGCCCCGAGGUUAAGAAAGAGCUGCUCAAGAAGGUGAAGAGUGCCAUUUCAGCUACUGCAGAGAGAUUUUCUGGGUACAUGCAGAAUGAUGCACAUGAGUUCUUGAGCCAGUGUCUGGAUCAGCUGAAGGAAGACAUGGAAAAGUUAAACAAAACUUGGAAGAGUGAGCCAGUCCCUAAUGAGGAUAACUCACCUGGACGGGCUGCUGAUGACCUCUCAGCCACCAAAGUUUAUACGUGUCCGGUUAUCAGUAACUUAGAGUUUGAGGUUCAGCAUUCUAUCAUUUGCAAAUUGUGUGGUGAAACAGUCACUAAGAGAGAACAGUUUAAUGACCUCUCCAUCGACCUUCCUCGAAGAAAGAAAUUGCUUCCUUCCCGAUCGAUCCAGGAUUCCCUUGACCUCUUUUUUCGGGCAGAGGAGAUUGAGUAUUCCUGUGAGAAGUGCAAUGGAAAGUCUGCUGUUGUUACACACAAGUUUAACAGGCUUCCCAGGGUCCUGAUUCUUCAUCUGAAACGAUACAGCUUCAACGUCGCCUUGUCUCUCAAUCACAAAGUGGGGCAGCAGGUGGUUAUCCCCAGGUACCUGACGCUGCUCUCGCACUGUAUGGAGAGCACCCGCCUGCCGCUCACCCUGGGCUGGAACGUCCAUCCCGCAAUUUCCCGUCCAUUGAAAGCCUCCCAAAUGGUGAAUUCCUGUACCAUAAGCACUUCCACACCUUGUAGAAAAUACACUUUCAAGUCAAAGAGCUCUGCAGCACUCUAUGUAGACUCUGACAGUGAUGACGAGCCAUUGAAACGCUCUGUUGCUCAUAGCCAGAGGUUGUGUAACAUGCCGAAUAGGGAUCAGCAGCAACUGCAAGAAGAGCCGGAAAAGGGUUCCAAAAGGAGUAAAAUGGAGGGUGACAAAGCUGAGCUGGCUAAUGCUGGUUUUGAUGGGAUGAGCGAAGAUGAGCUGCUAGCAGCUGUCUUAGAGAUUAGCAAAAGGGAGGCUUCUCUGUCUCUGAGCCAUGAUGAAGAUAAGCCCACAAGCAGCCCAGACACUGGUUUUGGAGACGACGAAAUUCAGGAAUUGCCGGAAAACCUGGAGUCUAUGGAGAUGGAGAAACCCAAAGCGGCUUUAGACUCAGGUCCUGCCAAUUUCUCUGAGAUAACUAAAGAUUUUGAUGAGAAUAAGGAAAACAAAACUCCGGAAGGCUCCCAGGGGGAGGUCGACUGGCUGCAGCAGUAUGACAUGGAGAGAGAGAGGGAAGAACAAGAACUUCAACAGGCGCUGGCUCAAAGCCUUCAAGAGCAAGAGGCACGAGAACAAAAAGAGGACGAUGACCUUAAACGAGCCACGGAAUUAAGUCUACAAGAGUUUAACAGCUCUCUCCUGGACAGCGUUGGUUCUGAUGAAGACUCUGGGAAUGAGGAUGUUCUUGACAUGGAGUAUUCUGAAGCUGAAGCAGAAGAGCUGAAAAGAAACGCUGAGACAGGAGAGCUUCCCCACUCUUAUCGUCUCAUCAGCAUUGUCAGCCAUAUUGGAAGCACAUCAUCUUCAGGUCAUUACAUCAGUGAUGUCUAUGAUAUCAAGAAGCAGUCCUGGUUCACCUACAAUGACCUGGAAGUAUCUAGAACUCUCGAGGCAACCGUUCAGUGCGACAGAGAUCGAAGUGGCUACAUCUUCUUCUACAUGCACAAGGAUAUCUUCGAUGAGUUACUAGAAACAGAAAAAAAUGCACAGCCACUUAGCAUGGAAGUAGGAAGAUUGGUUCGUCAGCCUCUGUGAAGAGUAAAACACCUUGUUCCUCCUGAGGAACAAGGAAGGUUCUGAACUCAUGCCAGACACACAGGAGUAACAAACAGCUCAGGGCCAAAACAAGAGACAAAAGGUAGAAAUAUGGGACGCUCGGUUUGUUGAACCAUCUGUGCAAGUCCUGGGCCUGAACCAUGUGAUGAAACCUUCACAUCCCAGAGCGCUCCCUCCUGUCGUGAAGUUUUUACCGUUCCUCAGAUAAUUCUGUCAGCAUGGAGCCUUAAAAGAGUUGCAUCAAGCCACACGACUACAGCUGCUCAUAAACUGAUUUUUAAGAAGUGCAAAAAGAGACUCUCCUGAAAGCCCAUUGACCCGCCAGACGUGAGUGGCGAAGAUUUACAGAUCACUUGGCUUUCCUUUUGGCUGUUGCCUGAGUUCUGUUGGGACAGGAGAGGUCUCUUCGGGCUUUUCACACCGAGGUUGUAUUGCAUGGGGCCGCUUCCCUGUGGCUCUGGGGGCAGGUGAACACCCGGAGCAGACUGAGAAUAGCAGCAGGAGGUGAGCGACAGGCGCUUUGCAUCCUCUGGGAGGGAAGGAGCCUUCCAGCGUUACCCAGGCUGCACUUCAGCAGGGAGAAGCAGGCUCUGCACGGCACCCUUCAUCUUCCCAUCACCCCUGAGAAGGGGUUUUAGUGCAGCCAUGCCUCCAAUCUCUGUUCUGAGGAGCACAGAGCACUCCAGCUGUGAAACCAAAGCAGGUGGGAAGCUUCCAGAAAGCCCCCAUUCAGUGCUAACAGAGCACGGUUAGGAAGAAGUGCUGCACCCUACUGCAUGCAGAGACACCACGCUCCUCUUGCAGCUCGUUUCAGCAGGGGGGAAAGCCUAGUGACUUCAUUUUUUCAGCACCUUUGCACGCACUCGGCAGGGGCAGAUGUUUCCUUUCACUGGCAUUUACUCAUUUCAGAGAAGUCGUGGCUGUCAGGCAGAGUAGUUGCUCUUGUUUUGGCCUCUAGUUCUGAGUUUUGCAGUUUGAGUUUUAGAGGUGAAAGAUUUCUUUUUUUAAGGGGAAAAAAAAAAGAAGCAAAACCCAACCACCACCUUUUUUUGCUGUCGGGAUAGUUUCUGAGUUUUUUUAACUAUCUUUAGGAGUUUCUCAGGAAUUAAAUCAACUGAAGCAAAACAGACAAAACCAUCCAUUUAGGAGACAGCAGGCACCUCUCCCACGGGUGCUCCCGUGCCACAGCUGAUCCCAGGAGCUGGCAGGGGGCUCCCACCUCAGUGGCCUCCUCUCACCCCCUCUGCUAUCAUCCCCAAGCCCAGGACUUUGGGGGGCCCCGGCGUGGUGAAAAGGCCGACUGACCCUCGAGGCCAUGUGCCGGGUGAGCCCGCUGGGGCUGGGCAGGGUGAGCUCUUUCUGCCCCCACCCCCAAGCUGUUUGUGGUGGAAAACGCAGCCUGAGUGUGUGUGUGUGCGUGUGUGGAGGGCUGUUAAUUUAUUACAAGGCAUUGUACUUUUCUGUGUCCAUACCGAUUUGGGCCGAGUUCUGGGUGAUGGGAAGAGGCAGUGAGGUGGGAGCUGCCCUUUGAGCUGAUGACCCCUGUGAGUGUGACGGAGUACUGUGUUCCCCGAGCGCAUCCCAUGCCACUGCUGUAAAUAACCCCUGUUCUGGAGGCUCAGGAGCCAGCUCUGCCUCCUGUGGGUGACACGGUUCUUUCUGCCAGGUGCUGCACUCCAGUUAAUUUAUAAUAAAAGCAAACGUUGCCUGACUUGUCAGCAGAGUAACUUUCGUUUAAAAAUAAGCUUUUGUUUGGAUCAAGGUGCAAAAAGCUGAUGCUUGAAACAAGUGUUUCUUGGUUUUUGAAAAGUUCUUGCUUACUGUUGUGUGGGUUAGAAAUUUGCAGGCAUCUGUUCAUUAAUUUCAGCUCUUUGUUAGACCUACGGCAGCUUGGUUGCGCCUUCACCCUGGCAGGAGCGUCAGUGGAGCCCCUGCCUCGCAGAAGCCCCCUGUUCUCUCCGAGGGCAGGGGGGAGGAAGGCGUGUGUGUGCCCCUCAAGGGCAGCGUGUCCUCACCGCGCUGGCUCUCACGGCAGUAAGGUUGUCCCUCCCAGGUUGAGGACACCCCUCCCAGCUACAGGCAGCUGCCUUCUCAGCACACCCGCAGAGUCCUGGUUAAACAUUCACCGGCUUCCGAGGCAGCCGAGAUCAGUCCCAGUGUGAUUCAGCAGGUCACCACCGGGAGCUCCCAUCCGGCCAUUCCUCUCGCUCCUUUGUAGCUCGGCUGUGGUGAUUUGCUCUUGAUUUACUCCCUUACUCUGAGAGGUGCAAAACCCUUCGUGUCAAUGAACUGGAGUGGAGCACGUCUGCAGGUCCCUGGGGAGCCCCGGCCCACAGGGCUGCACAAAAAGAGCCUUUGCAAAGCACGGAUUGGCUUCCCAACCGAGCUCUGAGGGAGCCCCUGUCCUCUUCAACGCCUGUGGGCAUCACCUCACCUUCCAGCUCGGCUCAGAGCUCCAUACCCGUGUGUCUCUGUUCCCAGCCCGAGGGCAGCCCACCAGAGGGCACGUGGCCAGGGGCGAGGGCUGGGAGUAACUCAACUGCCUUUUCUUUUUAAUGGAGCUAAUUAUCCCUGAAAUCCCUCACCAAAGAGAGAAGCAGGGGUGCAGGCCCUUGGGCAGCCCUGCAGCCAGCCCUCAGCCUCGCCUGCUGCAGGGUGGCUGCUCCCGCCCCGACUUUCUGGUUCUUUACACUGCUGCUGUGGAGCAGCGCUUUUCUCUGUGUUUUAGCAGACCUGUUCCUCUCUAUUCUUUAUAGGUUUUGCUCUUGGGUUCCCCCCCACCCCUUUUUAAAUGAUGUGUAGAGAGAUUUUUGUGAAAGUAAACCUUCUUUAU